UACGUAGGGUGCGAGCGUUGUCCGGAAUUAUUGGGCGUAAAGGGCUCGUAGGCGGUCUGUUGCGUCAGGAGUGAAAACUCGGGGCUUAACCCCGAGCCUGCUUCUGAUACGGGCAGACUAGAGGUAUGCAGGGGAGAACGGAAUUCCUGGUGUAGCGGUGAAAUGCGUAGAUAUCUGGAGGAAUACCGGUGGCGAAGGCGGCAUCCUGGACCAUUACUGACGCUGAGGCGCGAAAGCUAGGGGAGCAAACGGG
rnacentral:rRNA from 1 species